GGAAGUAAAAGUCGUAACAAGGUUUCCGUAGGUGAACCUGCGGAAGGAUCAUUACCGAGUUAGGGUGCUCUCUCAGCGCCCGACCUCCCAACCCUUUGUCUAUGAUACCUUACAGUUGCUUCGGCGUGCCGAGGGGUUCGACCCUCGCCGGACCUCCGGUCUGGAGCGCGCCCGCCGAUGGCCUCAACUUAACACUUGAACCCGAAACCUGUCGUCUGAAACCUUUGUGAUUACUAUAAUCAAAAACAAAACUUUCAACAGCGGAUCUCUUGGUUCUGGCAUCGAUGAAGAACGCAGCGAAAUGCGAUAAGUAAUGCGAAUUGCAGAAUUUCCGUGAGUCAUCGAAUCUUUGAACGCACAUUGCGCCCAUUGGUAUUCCGAUGGGCAUGCCUGUUCGAGCGUCAUUAUCCUCUCUCCAAACCUCGGUUUGGGUGUUGGACCGAGUUGUGGCAACGCAACUGGUCUCAAAGACAAUGACGGCGUCCGUGGGACCCUCUUCGCAACGAGUCUUUCGAGGCACGCGGGGAGUUGCAAGGUCUCGUCGGGUCGGUCUAACCUUUUAUUUCUCAGGUUGACCUCGGAUCAGGUAGGAAUACCCGCUGAACUUAAGCAUAUCAAUAAGCGGAGGA
rnacentral:rRNA from 1 species